UGGGAUGGUGGCAAAAGUAAUGAAAAAAAUGAUUCUGUAAAUCGAAGUGGCAAGGUUAAUAGCAGCAACGGCGGUGGCUGUGGUGGUGUUACCUUGGCGCUGGCAAAUCAAAGGAAGGGGAAUCAAUUGAGACCCAGAAAGGAAAUGCAGGCUCCGAACAGGCAAGUGAAAAUUGAAGAGAAUCAUCAAGUGAAGGGUGAUGAAAAGAUGCAAGAGAAGGGAGAGGAUGCGGAGGAGGAACUGUGGGAAAUGUAUCCAUUUUUGAGCGAGUCGCUAGAGAUGGACUGCUUAUCUGAGGGGGUGAAGGUGAUUCU
rnacentral:misc_RNA from 1 species